rnacentral:rRNA from 1 species
CUCGUAGGCGGUUCGUCGCGUCCGGUGUGAAAGUCCAUCGCUUAACGGUGGAUCUGCGCCGGGUACGGGCGGGCUGGAGUGCGGUAGGGGAGACUGGAAUCCCCGGUGUAACGGUGGAAUGUGUAGAUAUCGGGAAGAACACCAAUGGCGAAGGCAGGUCUCUGGGCCGUUACUGACGCUGAGGAGCGAAAGCGUGGGGAGCGAACA